GUCCCUGUAGCGCAAUGGAUAGCGCGUUGGACUUCUAAUCCAAAGGUCGUGGGUUUGAAUCCCACCAGAAACG